CCACUACAUCGACCCCUGCCACUUCCUGAACAUCUUCAAACAACAGGGCAUCUGUCCGCCCCAGCUGACUGCCAACAGCCUCCCCUGCACCUGCCCCUUCAGCCCCGACAAGCUCGACAUGCCCCCUUCCAAGUUCACCGUCAACAACAUCACUGAUGCCUGGCAAUUUCUGGCCAGUGGCGAGUACCACGUAAAACUCACCCUGAAUGACAAGACAAAUCAACAACUUCGUGGUUGUGUAGAGACGUACAUCGAAAUCACAGUGUGAUACCAAGUCAAAUACAUAUACAUGUUUAUUUGAUGAUAGAAAAUAAACACAAUAAAUAAUAUACAUGUUUGUAAUAA